UGAAGAAAAAUUAAAGAACAGGUUCGUUCUUACAGAUACUUUAACUCUUUGAGUUUUCCGAGUUGAGCUCCGCACUCCCAAGAUCUCUGCAAGAAAGGAACCAAGGAUAUGAAGUUAGAGUAGAAGAGAAUGAAGGGGAAAAAAGUCUUCGUUCUUGAAUCCAUCCAUUCAUCCUUAUUACAGUCGAAUGACACUGUUGUCGUUGUUGCAGGUAACAUGGAACCAAGUACAUGGAUUUACAAAGCUUGGAUUCCAACUCUGCAACACCUCAUUUGGGUCAUCCAGACUGGAUUUCAAUUUGUGUAGAGCAUCGCCUUCUAUGUUGGAGAUGGCAACGUUGAUGAAAACGAGAUGGUGGAAGAUGUGAAGAAUGAUCACAACUGUUGAUAGAAUCACCAUGAAACUUGAUAAGUUGACAGAGUGGUUGGUGGUGAGCUCCGUUCAGUCCUCCUCAGAUACUUUAUUUCAAGUGACAACAAAAUGCAG
rnacentral:lncRNA from 1 species